CAGCAACGUCCCUGAGCUGAGAGGGAGCAUAUGAGUUCAUGGAAGUUACAAGAAGGGAAAAAAUGUUCACCAUUCUCUUAUUUGGGCCACUACCUCCUAGCCUGUCCUCAUACAGAUAUGAAAACUGAAGGCCCCGAUUACCAGAAACCAGCAGGGACCAGGCAGAGAGGAUAGAUGGAAAGCAGACAGUGCCUGGAGAUCAGCAGCCCUAGGCCCUGACUUUCCCAAACCCUGAGCAU
rnacentral:lncRNA from 1 species